GACGAACCGUGCGAACGUUGUUCGGAAUCACUGGGCUUAAAGGGCGCGUAGGCGGGCUGCCAAGUCUGGGGUGAAAUCCUCCGGCUCAACCGGAGAACGGCCUCGGAUACUGGCGGUCUCGAGGGAGGUAGGGGCGUGCGGAACUAAGGGUGGAGCGGUGAAAUGCGUUGAUAUCCUUAGGAACUCCGGUGGCGAAGGCGGCACGCUGGACCUCUUCUGACGCUGAGGCGCGAAAGCCAGGGGAGCAAAC
rnacentral:rRNA from 1 species